rnacentral:rRNA from 1 species
UUAGGGUCGUAAAGCUCUUUCGCCUGUGAAGAUAAUGACGGUAGCAGGUAAAGAAACCCCGGCUAACUCCGUGCCAGCAGCCGCGGUAAUACGGAGGGGGUUAGCGUUGUUCGGAAUUACUGGGCGUAAAGCGCACGUAGGCGGACUGGAAAGUUGGGGGUGAAAUCCCAGGGCUCAACCCUGGAACUGCCUCCAAAACUAUCAGUCUAGAGUUCGAGAGAGGUGAGUGGAAUUCCGAGUGUAGAGGUGAAAUUCGUAGAUAUUCGGAGGAACACCAGUGGCGAAGGCGGCUCACUGGCUCGAUACUGACGCUGAGGUGCGAAAGUGUGGGGAGCAAACAGGAUUAGAUACCCUGGUAGUCCACACCGUAAACGAUGAAUGC